rnacentral:pre_miRNA from 1 species
GGUCAGGAAGAGGAGGAAGCCCUGGAGGGGCUGGAGGUGAUGGAUGUUUUCCUCCGGUUCUCAGGGCUCCACCUCUUUCGGGCC